CUUUUUCUUCACGCGUCCGCCCCCCUCGAAAUUUUCCUUCUCGCUGCCUUCAGCCCGUCGCCCAAUCGCCCGUUCUCCUCAGCCGCUCGUCCAGACCGCCGUCGCCUGAGUCCAGUAGCCGGUCUCCACCACUGCUCGCUGCCGAUCUCGACCAGCCAGCCAACCGCUCGUCCAGCGUCGCUUGCCCAUCCGCACGUCGAUCUUGCUCAGCAGGUCAGAGUGGCGUCUGCGCUGCCGUCGCCCUAGCCACUUGAUUGUCGCGUGCCGCGCCCGUCUCCCAACAGCUCGAGCCGCCGCGAGAUCCAACCACGUCGUACCUUUUCAAUGAAGCCGUCCACAUCAGGGCUGCCAUCACCGUUGCCGUCGCCUCCAGCCGAUCUCCUCCACCACCCAUCGCCGUGCUGCCCAGCCCCUAUUGCGUGGUCUUCGUUGUACUCUUAGAUUUGGAUUUUAGCUUGGGAAAUUACAGAAGUGGCUGUCCAGCGGAUCUGAGAUUGUUGAGCAAGAGUUUUGGUUCCAAGUCAUCGUCCAUUGGGAUUUAAAAUCUGUUAGGAGGAGAUUUUGGAGUCGAAAUCUUGGGAGUGGUUGUUGAUCAAGUUUCUUUGGGGCCAUUACUUCAAACCGCUGUCAUCGUUUGGUUGUCUUGGUUGUCUGAUUUUAUCUGUGGAUUUUCGAUUAAGGUAAGUAAUCUUACUACUGGAACUGCCCACGGGCCAGACACUAGAUAUAUGCUAGCAUGAUAGAUGAAUAUUAGGACAUAAUGAUAAAAUGAUAAACGGAUAGUAUAAUAUGAUCAAUAUUUGUUCUUGUAUGAGAAUCUAAAAGAUUUAUUUGUGCACGUAGAUACUUGCAUGUUAGUAAGAGAUGAUACUUGAUUCACUGAGGUUGUAUUUGAUAUGAGGAUAUCCAGGCGUAUAUGCAUGUUGUAUAGCCAUGAUGUUGAGGUGUAUAUGUAUGUUAUAAAACCAUAUUGUGAUAAUUGUAAUGUUGAUACUGUGAUAGUGUCUUUACUGAUUAGUUAGAUACCCACUAGAUAUUGUGUUUCCUUCAGAAUUCACCAGAUAUUGUGUUUCUUUUCAGGUUUCACCAGAGAUUGUGUUUCUUUCGGGAUUCACCAGGGAUUGUGUUU